rnacentral:rRNA from 1 species
AACGAACGCUGGCGGCAGGCCUAACACAUGCAAGUCGAACGCAUCGCAAGAUGAGUGGCAGACGGGUGAGUAACGCGUGGGAACCUUCCCAGUGGUACGGAAUAGCUCAGGGAAACUUGGGGUAAUACCGUAUAAGCCCGAAAGGGGAAAGAUUUAUCGCCAUUGGAUGGGCCCGCGUAGGAUUAGCUAGUUGGUGAGGUAAUGGCUCACCAAGGCGACGAUCCUUAGCUGGUCUGAGAGGAUGAUCAGCCACACUGGGACUGAGACACGGCCCAGACUCCUACGGGAGGCAGCAGUGGGGAAUAUUGGACAAUGGGCGGCAAGCCUGAUCCAGCCAUGCCGCGUGAGUGACGAAGGCCUUAGGGUUGUAAAGCUCUUUUGGUCGGGGACGGAUAAUGACGGUACCCGCAGAAUAAGCCCCG